rnacentral:rRNA from 1 species
GCCAUGCAAGUCUCAGUACAUGCCGCACUAAGGUGAAACCGCAAAAGGCUCAUUAAAUCAGUUAUGGUUCCUUGGAUCUUAAACAGUUACUUGGAUAACUGUGGUAAUUCUAGAGCUAAUACAUGCAAACAAGUCCCGACCAGAGAUGGGAGGGACGCUUUUAUUAGAUCAAAACCGAUCGGCGUCCGGCUCCGGCCGGCGCCGUCUCUUUUGGUGACUCUGGAUAACUUUUAGCCGAUCGCACGGUCACAGUACCGGCGACGCAUCUUUCAAAUGUCUGACUUAUCAACUGUCGAUGGUAGGCUCUGCGCCUACCAUGGUUGUAACGGGUAACGGGGAAUCAGGGUUCGAUUCCGGAGAGGGAGCCUGAGAAACGGCUACCACAUCCAAGGAAGGCAGCAGGCGCGCAAAUUACCCACUCCCGGCACGGGGAGGUAGUGACGAAAAAUAACGAUACGGGACUCAUCCGAGGCCCCGUAAUCGGAAUGAGUACACUUUAAAUACUUUAACGAGUACCAAUUGGAGGGCAAGUCUGGUGCCAGCAGCCGCGGUAAUUCCAGCUCCAAUAGCGUAUAUUAAAGUUGUUGCGGUUAAAAAGCUCGUAGUUGGAUCUGUGUGCCACGCUGUCGGUUCACCGCCUGUCGGUGUCAACUGGCAUGUCUGUGGGACGUCCUGCCGGUGGCGGUACGGGCUGCCGGCGCUGCGUAGGGGCUCGCCCCCGAAGCACGCCGGCGUGUCCCGGUCCGCCGAUCCAAUCCCGCCGCGGUGCUCUUCACUGAGUGUCGAGGUGGGCCGGCACGUUUACUUUGAACAAAUUAGAGUGCUC